GGAGAAAGACUGUAGCUCAGUGGUAGAGCAUAUGCUUUGUAUUCAGAAGGUCUCAAGUUCAAUCCCUGGAAUCUCUCCA